rnacentral:tRNA from 4 species
GCUGUGGUAGUGUAGGGGUUAGCACGGUAGGUUGUGGUCCUGCCGGCCCGGGUUCAAUUCCCGGCCACGGCCCCA